rnacentral:rRNA from 1 species
GAUGAACGCUGACAGAAUGCUUAACACAUGCAAGUCUUUGGCGAAGCUGUGCUUGUUCAGCCUAGCCAGGGCGGACGGGUGAGUAACGCGUCAGGAACUUGCCCUGCAGUCAGGGAUAACAGACGGAAACGACUGAUAAGACCUGGUAAAGUCAGGCGGACUCAUGUCCAGCCUGAUGAAAAGAGAUGCUGCAGGAGAGCCUUGCGUCCUAUUAGCUUGUUGGUGGGGUAACGGCCCACCAAGGCGAUGAUAGGUAGCCGGCCUGAGAGGGUGGACGGCCACGAGGGGACUGAGAGACGGCAGUUACUCCUGCGGGAGGCAGCAGUGGAGAAUAGUGGACAAGGGGGGCGACCCUGAUCGAGCAAUUCUGUGUGCAAGAUGAAGGUUUUCGGAUUGUAAAGUUCUUUCAGCAGGGAAGAAAAAAAUGACGGUACCUGCAGAAGAAGCGACGGCUAAAUACGUG